rnacentral:rRNA from 1 species
AGCUCGUGUCGUGAGAUGUUGGUUAAGUCCGCACGAGCGCAACCCCUACUUGUUAGUUGUCCAUCAUUCAGUUGGGUCGACUCUAGCGAGGACUGCCGGUAAUAAACCGGAGGAAGUGGGGAUGACGUCAAAUCAUCAUGCCCCUUAUGACCUGGGCUACACACGUGCUACAAUGGUUGGUACAACGAGUUGCGAGUCGGUGACGGCGAGCUAAUCUCUUAAAGCCAAUCUCAGUUCGGAUUGUAGGCUGCAACUCGCCUACAUGAAGUCGGAAUCGCUAGUAAUCGCGGAUCAGCACGCCGCGGUGAAUACGUUCCCGGGCCUU